CCAUUCCUCUGUAUCGGUCGAGGAUCUUGACACUACUGGGACGACUGGCGAGGACGCGCUCUCGUAUUGUCCUCUCUGCGCGCUCCCGUGCCAUCUUCAAUUCCAAUUGUUGUAGUUUCCUCCGCAAUCCCCUGUUUUCUUUCUGGCUUUGAGUUAUUUCCAAACGAAACACUGCAUAGUCGUCGUCUACGAGUUUACAGAUCUCUGCCACGGCUGUAUUCGCUAGCAUCUCCAUGAUGGAGGCAAUUUGAGUGUGAAAAAUCAUACAGUCAGCCAUUGUUGUUAGCGAACGUUAGCAGCUAGCUAGAUAACAUCAUCAACCAAGUUCCGUCUCCAACGCGAAUUAAAGACUACCUGGGGUGUAUGGCUUGUCGGCGUCCGUCCUAAUCCUCGGCCUCCCACGUCGUGACCCAAUGUCACCAGAGGAAGUAGAAGCAGGAGCCACCACCCUCAGGAACAGGAGGGUCUAUCUCUAUCAGCCCCAGGCCCUGCUCCAUCCCUGCACUGAGACUGUGAAGAGAAGGGUCUGGGCUGUAGACUGGAUCCCUGACUGGAGCCUCUGUCUCUCUGAUGACCACCAGGACUGAGGUGUUCAGUCCACCCGUCCACUGGUUGUGUUCUGUGUCGUGGUGGAGUCUCUGUCCUUCGCGGUCGGGUCCUGGUUCCAACUCGCGAAGGAAGAGCGAUGGCUCCUGAUCCAGUGUCCUGAUCGGGGGCCAGGGUUUGUGACCAGCUGCUUCAGAGGUCCAGUCUCUCCCGCCAGCAACACCGGAUAUCAGCAGGUCCUCAUGGACUGCAGACACAAAUUUAACAGAAAAUCAUAAAGUUUUAUAUAAGAAACUCUUUGCUGUACACACACAAACAUGACAUUAUAAAAUGUUAACCAGUCAAGCCUCUAACACUGUGAUUCAAGUACAGUACAAUAUGGAGGCAUUGGAGUUUAUUAUAUUUAAAAAAUGUACAUGUGUUGAUUCAAAAAUGAAGUAUAAUGUUUUGGUUUCACUGAGAUAAGGACAACGCAGUCCCUGCAACGAUACAAAAAUAACCAAGUCAGAACAGUCAAUGUUGUAUUUAAUUUCAACAAAAUGGUCAUACAGUCACAUAGUGAAGUACAGAACUUUAAUUGUACAAACAACAUGUGACAAGUAGAAUAACUUUUACCUUUUCUUUUACCUUUUCUGAAAAGCUGGUACUCUCGCUUUGAAAAAAUACAUUUUGAAUACUUUGGAAAAGGUUCAGCAUUGCA